rnacentral:rRNA from 1 species
GACGAACGCUGGCGGCGUGCCUAAUACAUGCAAGUCGAGCGGACAGAAGGGAGCUUGCUCCCGGAAGUUAGCGGCGGACGGGUGAGAACACGUGAGCAACCUACCCUGUAGAUCGGGAUAACAUCGAGAAAUCGGUGCUAAUACCGGAUAAUCAUUUGAAGUGCAUGCUUCGAAUGUAAAAGAUGGCUCCGGCUAUCACUACGGGAUGGGCCUGCGGCGCAUUAGCUAGUUGGUAAGGUAAUGGCUUACCAAGGCAACGAUGCGUAGCCGACCUGAGAGGGUGAUCGGCCACACUGGGACUGGGACGCGGCCCAGACUCCUACGGGAGGCAGCAGUAGGGAAUCUUCCGCAAUGGACGAAAGUCUGACGGAGCAACGCCGCGUGAGUGAUGAAGGUUUUCGGAUCGUAAAGCUCUGUUGUUAGGGAAGAACAAGUGCCGUUUGAAUAAGGCGGCACCUUGACGGUACCUAACCAGAAAGCCACGGCUAACUACGUGCCAGCCGCCGCGGUAACAC